AAGAUCUCUUCAGAAAGGGAGGAGAGGAUGGCUUUGAGAUCAGAUCUCGAAGCCUAGGAAGGAGCCUACAUGCCACACCACAAGGGGAGGGAGGAUGCCAAGAGGAGAGAGACACCCAAGAGAAGAGGGGACGCCCAAGUGAGGUAGUCUCCAUGCCCAAGCCCUUGCUCAUGCCUAGAUUUAUUUUCUUCUUCUCCAAAUCCCUCCUUAAAUAGACAAGAGAUCCUAGAUCAAAUCAAAUAUCUUCAUGCAUUAGGAAUAGGAUCCUCUA
rnacentral:lncRNA from 1 species